rnacentral:rRNA from 1 species
UCUGGUUGAUCCUGCCAGUUGUCAUAUGCUUCUUUCAAGGACUAAGCCAUGCAAAUGUAAGUGGACCCGAUUUAUCGGGGGGACUGUGUACGGCUCAUUAAACGGUUAAUAGUCUACCCAACAUCGAAAGCAUUCGUGCUUUCCGACGGGAUAACUGCUCGAAAUGGGCAGCUAAUACCUGGAAGAUCAAUCUCUCAACGUUCACCAAACAUCAGGGAAACCUGGUGUGCGGGUUGGGGGAUGCUAUUGGCCGAAACAAAGAUCAUUCGCCCCGUCAGGGGCAGUUGGAAUUGUUGACGCAGGCCAAUGUAGCGGAAGCGCAUUCGCGCGUUGUUGGACGAAUUCACCACCCAUCAGGUUGAAGGUAGUGUAGUGGACUACCUUGCCUCUGACGGGUAACGGGGGAUUGGGGUUCGAUUCCGGAGAGGGUGCCUGAGAAACGGCAACCAUGACUACGGUCAGCAGCAGGCGCGCAAAUUGCCCAAUGCUAACACAGCGAGGCAGCGACGAAAAAUAGUAUUUCUGCUCCAUUCUAUGGACCAGAAUGCAAUGGAUUGUAUCUAAUACACACUGUUGAGUAACUAUUGGAGGGCAAGUCUGGUGCCAGCAGCCGCGGUAAUUCCAGCUCCAAGAGCGUAUAUAAAUGUUGUUGCGGUUAAAAAGCCCGUAGUUGGAUUUGAGUGCAGAGCUAGCAACUGUCUCCUGAGCUACUUCGGUAGUGAUGGUCAACAGGUGCAUAUUAGUAAUGCACUGAGACAUGCGGGAUCGUCCACGGGUUCUGGGGUCAUUAAGUUGGCUUCAGGGCUUUUCGGAGGGACUAUACUCCAUCAUGUGCGCCCGCAGCCGUCACUGUGAGUAAAACAGAGUGUUCAAGGCAACCAUUCUGGUUGAAUGUUAAAGCAUGGAAUGACAAGGGAUCGACCUUCGGGCCUCUUUUUGUUGGUUCUUUAAGGCUCCGCUAGGAGAAUUUCGUAGGUAGUUUCCUUGAUGUCGCUUCGGUGACUGAGAGGUCUGCCUAUUUACGGGAUCAAUAGGAGCACAGGGGGCUGUGGGUACUGGAGGGCUAGUGGUGAAAUACUGAGACCCCUCCAAGACCGACAUCAGCGAAAGCACUCGGCUAUUGUGCUUUCAUUAAUCAAGGACGAGAGAUCGGGGAUUGAAGAGGAUUAGACACCCUCGUAAUCCGUUCUGUAAAUUCUGCAGACUUGGGAUCGGUCAGUGAUCUAAUCUAGACCUGAUCGGCACCUUCCUCCUCUAUCGAGAAAUCAAAGUUUUUGUGUUCCGGGGGGAGUACAUUCGCAAGGCUGAAACUUAAAGGAAUUGACGGAGAACCACCACCAGUUGUGGAGUGUGUGGCUUAAUUCGACCCAACACGGGAAAUUUUACCAGGCCAGGACGUGGUGAGGAUUGCCAGAUUGAUAGCUCUUGCAUGAUUUCGCGAAGGGUGGUGCAUGGCCGCUUCUGGUUGGUGAAGUGAUUUGUCUGCUUAAUUGCGUUAACGAACGAGAUCUCUGCCAAUUACUAGACGUCGGUGUCGCUUAAGGUGUUCGGAGUGCAUUUCCUUCACGGGAUUUGUUACCUCGAUACCGAGACGCUUGAUGCUUACUUAUUGGGAUUAUGUAAUCACAAUUACAUC